GCCGUUUCGCACACUGCAUUUCGUGGUCGUAAUUCGCAUGUCGUGUGUGUAACAGAGCUAUUGUGAAAACAAGCGCCGUGUCUGUAAACUGUCACAGUCGUACAUUUUAGAGUUGUACUCUAAAAAACACACAAAAUCGCGUAUCUGUAAACUGUCGUGGCCGUAGAUUUUGGAAUCCAACUCUGACAAAAAACAGAAUUACGUACAAUAGUUUUAAAUUACGCACGAGUAUAUUAAAAUUACACACAAAUGUUUUGAAUUACGUGCGAUUAUUUUUGAAAGUGAUUUUAUUCCAUACAAAUCACACCUGCUUGGAAGUUUCUAGUAAUCCUGAAGACCUUGAUUAGCUGAAUCAGAGUCAUCAAGGAUCCAGCUUGUUCUUGAAACAUUGAAGUUUGCCCUCUGCAAGUGAACGAUUCCUUGUGGUGCCAUCCCAAAGAAGUUCACAAUCACCCUCACGGAUCUUUUCCUGGACUGUGCCCAGCUGCUGGAAUCACCUCCCAAUCUCAAUCCGAGCUGCUGAGUCUUUACUCAUUUUCAAGAAACAUCUUAAGACUCAUCUUUUUCACCAGAACUUAACCAACUAAUGCUAGCACUUUUCCUUCUUUUCUUGUCUUUCAUAUUGAAAAAAAAAAAAAAAAAACCUGGCUAUGCGUUCUGUACUAGACUAACUGAGACUUGUCAUGGCACUUGUAUACUGUUGUUGUUCGCUUGUACACCUGACUGCUUCUGUUCUUCUCAUUCGUAAGUCGCUUUGGAUAAAAGCGUCUGUUAAAUGAUUAAAUGUAAAUGUUUAUACAGGACGGUACAGAAAGUGCACAAGUGGGAGAGAGUGGAGGGGACGGCGUCAGAAAGGACCUAGCGCUGGGACACUUUCAAGGAUCACCCGAAGCACAACCACACUGUAUACACUAAGGCUGCUGGUUCUAACAUUUUAGAGUGCCCUGCGGUAGAAAUCUCAUUCUGCAUUCCCCACGGUAAAGAAGACACAGUCCGGGGGGGUUCCCAUUAGAAAUCAACUGGUGGAAGGUUCCCUUCUCGAACUGUUCAACACAUUUUCACUGCACAAAUGUACACAACUCUUGUAAUGAGACACAUUACUAAAACAUGUUUUUGACAGAAACUGUAGGUUUCCACCAAAAUAAAAGAUCCACUGGUUUCAGUCAUAAAGGUACAAGGGUUUGUCUUGUAAGUGCUGCAAAAAAAUAUGCAUUUAUGUGCCAAAUUAUUUCACAAAAACCUUUAAAUAUUAUUGUAUUUGGAUUGUUCUACUACAUGUUUUUAGCAUUACCUCCAUGCAUACUCUGCAUAAUAAAGUGUGGGAUUAUUUUCAUCUGUUUUAUACAGUAUGUUUCCAAAAUUAAACUGCUGUUUGACAAUUUUGA